CAAAAUCCAAUCCCCUCACUCUCUUCUUAUCCUCCUCUCCUUUCCUUUUCUCUCUCAUUUUCUCCCACUCUCUCUCUCUCUCUCUAAGAAAACCAGAGAAACUCUGCUCUGGAUGCAGAAAUCAAAUUCUACGAAAACGUUGCUGCUACCGGACGAGUUUGGCUUCAGUUGAUUUUCCAGUUUGUGCAUCAUUAACUCAAAAUCCAUAACAUCUUGGUAAUAAUUAAAACGAGUGUCGUCUAGUGUUAAAGUUUGGUUAUAAAAAGAGAGACGGUGAGGUGUUCCUGAAGUAGGUUUUAGUAAUUGAAGUUUAUUGUUGGAUUGGGGUUUGAUUUUGCCUGUGUUACUAAAUGGGCAUUUUGGAGGACAUGGGUUUCUGUAGCAAUUUUGAUUUUCUCUCAGCUCCUCCGGGGGAAGGAGAGGUGGCUUUGGAACCUGAACAAGAGGCUGCUAUGGAGGACGAUUACAGUGAUGAGGAGAUGGAUGUUGAUGAGCUAGAGAGGAGGAUGUGGAAAGACAGAAUGCUCCUGAGGCGGCUUAAAGAACAGAUUAAGGCCAAGGAUGGAGUAGACAAUAUAAAGCAGCGUCAGUCCCAGGAGCAAGCUCGAAGAAAGAAAAUGUCUCGGGCACAAGAUGGUAUCCUCAAAUACAUGCUGAAAAUGAUGGAAGUAUGUAAAGCCCAGGGCUUUGUGUACGGGAUCAUCCCUGAGAAAGGAAAACCAGUGAGUGGAGCCUCUGACAAUCUUCGUGCAUGGUGGAAGGAGAAAGUCAGGUUCGACAGGAAUGGGCCAGCUGCAAUAUCCAAGUACCAGGCUGACCAUUCAAUACCCGGGAAGAAUGAAGACUGCAUCACAGUGGCCUCCACUCCUCACACCUUGCAGGAGCUCCAAGACACCACCCUCGGUUCACUUUUGUCGGCUCUGAUGCAGCACUGUGAACCACCCCAGAGGCGGUUCCCAUUGGAGAAGGGUGUUCCUCCACCGUGGUGGCCCACUGGAAAUGAGGAAUGGUGGCCUCAAUUGGGUCUUCCUAAUGAUCAAGGCCCUCCUCCAUACAAAAAACCUCACGAUCUGAAGAAGGCCUGGAAGGUUAGCGUUCUAACAGCAGUGAUCAAACACAUGUCCCCCGACAUUGCCAAGAUCCGCAAGCUUGUGCGCCAGUCUAAAUGCUUGCAGGAUAAGAUGACAGCGAAGGAGAGUGCCACUUGGUUGGCUAUCAUUAACCAGGAGGAGUCGCUGUCCCGAAAGCUGUAUCCCGAUAGCUGCCCACCCGCAUCGUUUGCUGCUGGGAGUGGAUCAUUUGUCAUUAGUGAUGUGAGUGACUAUGAUGUUGAAGGAGUGGAUGAUGACCCAAAUACUGAAGUAGAGGAGUGCAAGCCCCGUGAUGGUACUAUCUUCAAUUUGGGGAUGGGGGGAUCGAAAGAUAGGUUUGUGGUGCCGCCAUUGGCUCAAAUCAAGGGUGAAAUUAUUGAAACAAAUUCGGAUUUCAUUCAGAAGAGGAAGCAGCCAUCGGAUGAGCAGCACAUAAUGAUGGAGCAGAAGACAUAUACCUGUGAGUUCCCUCAGUGCCCUUAUAACAAUUACCAAAGUGGGUUUUUCGACAGAACUUCGAGAAACAAUCACCAGAUGAAUUGCCCUUACCGAAACAAUUCUUGUCAAGGGUUUGAAAUGCCAAACUUCCAUAUCAACAAUGACAAAGCACCUGCCUUCUCUAGUUCCUUAGCACAACCCAAGCCAACUCCUCGGACAGUGAACCAGGGUUCACCGUCUUUCCAUGUUACCGGACUCGGACUUCCAGAAGACGGGCAAAAGAUGAUUUCUGAUCUCUUCUCGUUCUACGAUACUAAUCUUCUGCAGACCAAGAGCUUGAAUUCUGGGAGCCUUGAUGUUAUCGAAGAUCAGACUCCACAGCAGCAAAAAUUUCUACUUCAACUGGAUGAUAAUUUCUAUGGGCAGGGGGUCAUAAUGGAAGAAACCAACAUGCCAUUGAAUCAUUCAGUUUUCCCAUCAAGUGAAUUUCAGUUUGAUCAGUGCAAAGCGUAUGCUUCUUCAUUCGAUACCAAUGGAAACGACAAUAUUGCAGAUUUCAGAUUUGGUUCGCCAAUGAACUUGGGUUCGGUUGAUUAUCCCAUUGACCCCAUGCCAAAGCACGAUGCAUCCGUGUGGUUCCUUUGAAGGAACAGAGCAAGUGGCUGUAUAUUCUUGGAGGAAGGUCAUCCAGGUGUUAUUCUCUCCUAAAAUAGUGGAACGGAAUGUUAAUAAGCUUGGUGAAGUUGUAGACCUCGAUUGAUCAGAUGUAAAAUGAUUUCUUAUCUAUCUUGGGAGGGAUCCAGUUGAAUGCUCGAGUAUGGAUUCCUUAGCCUCCGUUUGAGAAUGCUCGAGUAUGGAUUCCUUAGCCUCCGUUUGAGAAGUGGGUUGACUUUUUGACUUUUUGAUUUUUUUAGCUUGGGCUAAAAAGUUUGGUUUUGGAAGGACUUUUUGACUUUUUGACUUUUUUGAUUUUUUUUGUGAGAGAAGAGUGUAAUGAUUAUGAGUUGGAUGUGAUGUUUUAUUUUUUGUAAUUAAAAUAGUCAAAAAAAAGUCCCAAACUCUUAUUGCCAA